rnacentral:rRNA from 1 species
CCUACGGGUGGCAGCAGUGGGGAAUAUUGCACAAUGGGGGAAACCCUGAUGCAGCGACGCCGCGUGAGUGAAGAAGUAAUUCGUUAUGUAAAGCUCUAUCAGCAGGGACGAAAAUGACGGUACCUGAGUAAGAAGCCCCGGCUAACUACGUGCCAGCAGCCGCGGUAAUACGUAGGGGGCCAGCGUGAUCCGGCUUUACGGGGUGGAAAGGGAGCGUAGACGGCAGUGCAAGUCUGAAGUGAAAGGCGGGGGCUCAACCCCCGGACUGCGCUGGAAACUGUACGGCUGGAGUGCAGGAGAGGUAAGUGGAAUUCCUAGUGUAGCGGUGCAAUGCGUAGAUAUUAGGAGGAACACCAGUGGCGAAGGCGGCUUACUGGACUGUAACUGACGUUGAGGCUCGAAAGCGUGGGGAGCAAACAGGAUUAGAUACCCCUGUAGUC